rnacentral:rRNA from 1 species
AGUACGAUAUGCUACGGCAUCGAAGCAGUCUAUGUCAUACUUCCAAGAAAAGCUUGCACUGUCAUAAACAAAGAAUGCCUGUACCAUAACCGACACAGGUGGGUAGGUAUAGUAUACUAAGGGGCGCGAGAUAACUCUCUCUAAGGAACUCGGCAAAAUGACUCCGUAACUUCGGGAGAAGGAGUGCCUUAUUUCUAAGGUUGCAAUAACAAGAUCCAAGCAACUGUUUACCAAAAACACAGGUCUCCGCUAAGUCGUAAGACGAUGUAUGGGGGCUGACGCCUGCCCAGUGCCAGAAGGUUAAAGAAGUUGAUUAGCAUUAGCGAAGCUGAUAACUGAAGCCCUGGUGAACGGCGGCCGUAACGAUAACGGUCCUAAGGUAGCGAAAUUCCUUGUCGGGUAAGUUCCGACCCGCACGAAAGGCGUAAUGAUUUGGAUACUGUCUCGGAGAGAGGCUCGGUGAAAUAGACUUGUCUGUGAAGAUGCGGACUACCUGCACCUGGACAGAAAGACCCUAUGAAGCUUUACUGUAACUUGAGAUUGAAAUUGGACUUUAUUUGCGCAGUAUAGGUGGGAGGCGUUGAGAAUAAUCUUGCGGGAUUGUUGGAGCCAUCAGUGAGAUACCACUCUUGUAAUGUUAGAUUUCUAACUUUGUAUCAUUAUCUGGUCAAAGAACAGUUUCAGGCGGGCAGUUUGACUGGGGCGGUCGCCUCCCAAAGGGUAACGGAGGCGCACAAAGGUUUCCUCUGAACGUUAGAAAUCGUAUCUAGAGUGUAAAGGCAUAAGGAAGCUUGACUGUGAGACCUACAAGUCGAGCAGGGACGAAAGUCGGUCUUAGUGAUCUGACGGUGCUGAGUGGAAAGGCCGUCACUCAACGGAUAAAAGUUACUCUAAGGAUAACAGGCUGAUCUCCCCCAAGAGUUCACAUCGACGGGGAGGUUUGGCACCUCGAUGUCGGCUCAUCGCAUCCUGGGGCGGUAGUCCGUCCCAAGGGUUGGGCUGUUCGCCCAUGAAAGCGGUACGCGAGCUGGGUUCAGAACGUCGUGAGACAGUUCGGUCCAUAUCCGGUGUAGGCGUUAGAAUAUUGAGAGGAGCCUUCUCUAGUACGAGAGGACCGAGAAGGACAUACCUCUGGUGUACCAGUUAUCGUGCCAACGGUAAACGCUGGGUAGCUAUGUAUGGAGUGGAUAACCGCUGAAAGCAUCUAAGUGGGAAGCCCACCUCAAGAUAAGUAUUCUCA